GAUGAAGAACGUAGCGAAAUGCGAUAAGUAAUGUGAAUUGCAGAAUUCAGUGAAUCAUCGAAUCUUUGAACGCACAUUGCGCCCGGCAGCAAUCUGCCGGGCAUGCCUGUCCGAGCGUCAUUUCUUCCCUCGAGCGCGGCUAGCCCUACGGGGCCUGCCGUCGCCCGGUGUUGGGGCUCUACGGGUGGGGCUCGUCCCCCCCGCAGUCCCCGAAAUGUAGUGGCGGUCCAGCCGCGGCGCCCCCUGCGUAGUAGAUCCUACAUCUCGCAUCGGGUCCCGGCGAAGGCCAGCCGUCGAACCUUUUAUUUCAUGGUUUGACCUCGGAUCAGGUAGGGUUACCCGCUGAACUUAAGCAUAUCAAUAAGCGGAUGA
rnacentral:misc_RNA from 1 species